GUACCGUGUGUAGUCUCUGAAACAGGAGAAGUGGUAUCGUGCCUCACUAGCCACUAGGUCCCUGUCACGAAUGUGUAGAAACAGACUCUCAUCCUGUCUUUCUUCAGCAGCAAGAAGUAACUUCCCUGCAUGUUCACUGCAGCUAGAUGGGCAAAUGACUCCCUCCUGUGAUGGAAUCAAGUGGAUUCAGCUUUCAAGAUUCAGAUUUGAAGUUCAAGAUCCACAUUUACAGUUUCACACUGCAUGUUUGAUACCAAC